CCCUAUGGGUCGUAAACUUCUUUUACAGGGGACAAAUAUCCAGUUCGUGAACUGGAUUGAUGGUACUCUGAGAAUAAGGGUCGGCUAACUUCGUGCCAGCAGCCGCGGUAAUACGAAGGACCCGAGCGUUAUCCGGAUUUAUUGGGUUUAAAGGGUGCGUAGGCGGACAUGCAAGUCAGUGGUGAAAUCUCUCUGCUCAACAGAGAAACUGCCAUUGAAACUAUGUGUCUUGAGUACAUUUGAGGCGGGCGGAAUGUGUCAUGUAGAGGUGAAAUUCUUAGAUAUGACACAGAACACCAAUUGCGAAGGCAGCUCGCUAAACUGUAACUGACGCUGAGGCACGAAAGCGUGGGGAUCAAACAGGAUUAGAUACCCUGGUAGUCCACGCCCUAAACGAUGAUUACUCGAAGUGUGCGAUACACAGCACGCCUCUGAGCGAAAGCAUUAAGUAAUCCACCUGGGAAGUACGACCGCAAGGUUGAAACUCAAAGGAAUUGACGGA
rnacentral:rRNA from 1 species